CAACAUCCACCCUUUUUGGGCGUUGGUCGUGAGUGCUGCGGGCGCAAGCCGGCUCGCUUUAAAUGGAUGGAGUGAUCUGGCGUGUGCUUACGUGAUAGUUAUUUCGUUUGACGCGUUUAGAUGGCUUUCGGACUUACGUGCCGACCCUCAAAGGUUAACCCACAGACCUCAAAUCAGGUAGGACUACCCGCUGAACUUAA
rnacentral:misc_RNA from 1 species